rfam:Corynebacterium vitaeruminis DSM 20294, complete genome.
AGCGGAGGUUGGCGUAAGAACUCCGUUCGGAGUGAGUGGGAUCUGGUGUACUUCCCCGAUAUCAGAUCCCUCCUCCCCGGACGGGGCUCUGUGUUUGCCCCGCAGCGCA